rnacentral:rRNA from 1 species
UAGUCCACGCCGUAAACGAUGGACACUAGUUGUCGGAUGGCUUGACUAUUCGGUGACGCAGCUAACGCAUUAAGUGUCCCGCCUGGGGAGUACGUCCGCAAGGAUGAAACCCAAAGGAAUUGACGGGGGCCCGCACAAGCGGUGGAGCAUGUGCUUUAAUUCGAUGCAACGCGAAGAACCUUACCUGGUCUUGACAUACCAGUGCCCUUUGUAGAGAUACAGAUUUAUCUUCGGAUACACUGGAUACAGGUGCUGCAUGGUUGUCGUCAGCUCGUGUCGUGAGAUGUUGGGUUAAGUCCCGCAACGAGCGCAACCCUUGUCCUUAGUUGCCAGCACGUAAUGGUGGGAACUCUAAGGAGACUGCCGUCGCAAGGCGGAGGAAGGUGAGGAUGACGUCAAAUCAUCAUGGCCCUUACGACCAGGGCUAGACACGUGCUACAAUGGCCGGUACAAUGGGUUGCUAACUAGUGAUAGUGUGCUAAUCUCAAAAACCGGU